rnacentral:rRNA from 1 species
AAAUUGAAGAGUUUGAUCAUGGCUCAGAUUGAACGCUGGCGGCAGGCCUAACACAUGCAAGUCGAACGGUAGCACAGAGAGCUUGCUCUCGGGUGACGAGUGGCGGACGGGUGAGUAAUGUCUGGGAAACUGCCCGAUGGAGGGGGAUAACUACUGGAAACGGUAGCUAAUACCGCAUAACGUCGCAAGACCAAAGUGGGGGACCUUCGGGCCUCACACCAUCGGAUGUGCCCAGAUGGGAUUAGCUAGUAGGUGGGGUAACGGCUCACCUAGGCGACGAUCCCUAGCUGGUCUGAGAGGAUGACCAGCCACACUGGAACUGAGACACGGUCCAGACUCCUACGGGAGGCAGCAGUGGGGAAUAUUGCACAAUGGGCGCAAGCCUGAUGCAGCCAUGCCGCGUGUAUGAAGAAGGCCUUCGGGUUGUAAAGUACUUUCAGCGAGGAGGAAGGCGUUGUGGUUAAUAACCACAGCGAUUGACGUUACUCGCAGAAGAAGCACCGGCUAACUCCGUGCCAGCAGCCGCGGUAAUACGGAGGGUGCAAGCGUUAAUCGGAAUUACUGGGCGUAAAGCGCACGCAGGCGGUUUGUUAAGUCAGAUGUGAAAUCCCCGGGCUCAACCUGGGAACUGCAUUUGAAACUGGCAAGCUUGAGUCUCGUAGAGGGGGGUAGAAUUCCAGGUGUAGCGGUGAAAUGCGUAGAGAUCUGGAGGAAUACCGGUGGCGAAGGCGGCCCCCUGGACAAAGACUGACGCUCAGGUGCGAAAGCGUGGGGAGCAAACAGGAUUAGAUACCUUGGUAGUCCACGCCGUAAACGAUGUCUACUUGGAGGUUGUGCCCUUGAGGCGUGGCUUCCGGAGCUAACGCGUUAAGUAGACCGCCUGGGGAGUACGGCCGCAAGGUUAAAACUCAAAUGAAUUGACGGGGGCCCGCACAAGCGGUGGAGCAUGUGGUUUAAUUCGAUGCAACGCGAAGAACCUUACCUGGUCUUGACAUCCACGGAAGUUUUCAGAGAUGAGAAUGUGCCUUCGGGAAC